GACGAACGCUGGCGGCGUGCUUAACACAUGCAAGUCGAACGCUGAAGACCUGGCUUUUGUUGGGUUGGAUGAGUGGCGAACGGGUGAGUAACACGUGAGUAACCUGCCCUCUUCUUUGGGAUAACGCCCGGAAACGGGUGCUAAUACUGGAUAUUCACUGAUCUUCGCAUGGGGGUUGGUGGAAAGGUUUGUUCUGGUGGGGGAUGGGCUCGCGGCCUAUCAGCUUGUUGGUGGGGUGAUGGCCUACCAAGGCUUUGACGGGUAGCCGGCCUGAGAGGGUGACCGGUCACAUUGGGACUGAGGUACAGACCAGACUGCUACGGGAGGCAGCAGUGGGGAAUAUUGCACAAUGGGCGAAAGCCUGAUGCAGCGACGCCGCGUGAGAGAUGGAGGCCUUCGGGUUGUAAACCUCUUUCGCUCAUGGUCAAGCCGCAACUGUGGGUUGUGGUGAGGGUAGUGGGUAAAGAAGCGCCGGCUAACUACGUG
rnacentral:rRNA from 1 species